ACUUUGCUGUUCCCUCUUCUGAGUAUUGAGGAAGAAGUAUAGUAUUUCAGAUGCUGCUGCAUAAGUAUCCUACAAGCCAAGACCUAUACUCUCUUGAGAUGCGGAAGAGCCAAGCUCAAGGCUUUGCUGUAAAUCAUGAAUAAAGAAAGUUUUGAUCUCAGCAUUUCUGCACAGCAGAUGUUUGCGUGUACCAUGAAAACCCAGCUCAUGAUCAGGAUUAUGAGAAUCUUCCUCAGCAUAUUCACCUGGACGUGAGAAAUCAGUAGCAUAUGAUUUCUAUUACAGGGAUAUGUGCAACGGUAAAUGAAUCUCUGCUUGGAGUGUGACUAUAACUGACAGGAGUAAGAAGACUGAGCACAGUGAUGUUCUGAAUGCUAACAUUUACAUUUGUCAUGUGAUGUGUAUGUUUAUGUAAUUGAAAGCUGAAAAUAUUGUCAGUAUAUGAAUGGAUAUUUGAUGGGUGACAGCUUUUUUCAAGAAGUGUUUAAAAAUAAUUUUUGAAAUAAUAUGCUGAACUGAAAUGUGAAAGUGACAUCAGAGUAUUACAGAGUAAUAGCCCAUCUUGUAUUCCAUAUAUUACAUUUAUUUUCUAGAAAGGCACCAGCAUUCUGGGAAUAUUUUAUAAAGUUUUUAAAAGAUAAGAAUAGCAAUUUUUUCUAUAAAUCCCAGUGUCAUAAAUGCUAACAUGAAUCAAAAUUAUACAGGGCUCAAAGGACUCGUAACAUUUCUCUGAAUUAUCUAAGUAGCUACUUUCUUCCUGGGUUUAAAUUCAGAACUUAAAAACCUGAUCAAGCUGGAAGCUAGUUUCAAAUCCACAUAGGGCAACAGGUAUGGGACUUCAAAAUGAUACAGCCAUCAUAUUGGGGAAAAAAAAAAAAAUUCCCAUUGACCUAUAACUGCACUUCUUGGGGAACUAAGGGUAUGUGAGGCUCUGUGACAGUCUUUUUUUUAAAAAAAUGCUUGAAAAUGUUGGGAAUUCGGUCAGUUUGAAAAUGUAUUAUGGUACAGAAACUGACACAGAGCAAUAGAAGCAGAGAAAGUCCAGACAGGUGAAUAUUACAGGCAUGCAAUAAGUUGAAUUGUAUCAAUAGUGAAAUAUAAGACACUUAAUAAUUUAAUAGAUAUGCAGAGUUUUGGUAAACAGCAUGAGCAUGAUGAGCUUAUUAAUAUCAAAAUGCCACGGAACAUGAACAAUUAGGAAUGUGGUUUCCUCAGUAAGAGGGAUGGUUUCCUUUGACUUCUUUAUCAGUAAAAUCAGUCACUGUGAUCAUUCAGUGGACAUGCUUGGAAACUGCAGGAGUUAAAUGAUUCACCUUGGUAUCUUGGUAUAUUACAGCUGUCAAAUUUGCAUGCAUAGUUUUUCUUCAGCCUUUUGUUGACUUAUUUUUGUGUGCUACUCCAGUUCUUAUUCUAAUCAACAUGUAUUAGGGACAUUUUCCAGUAACACAAAUCAAAACUUAAUUAUCAGUUAGAUAUAGGUAUUUUUUUCCCCAUCUCUACAGAGAAAAAAAUCAGAUGUGAAAAUAUAUUGACCCAGGAUGGGAGAGCAGCAGGGGAGAGAGAUGGAAGGUCAAAGUAGCACUCCCUCUGGAGUGGCAAGGAAUGAAAUAUAUAGUAGUUUGAGAUGUUGCAGAAAUUCUUUCCAUAAUCCUUUGUGGGCUCUAUUUUGUUAUGUGAUGGACAAUCUCAUUGUGAGAUGGCAUCCACCAUUCUUCUAUUGUUUCUCUAUGGUUUUUCUUAUGCUAUUUCUGAUGGUUUUACAAUCUCUGAAGCCCAAUCAUAAACCAAGCCUCAAGAUUAUGAACCUGAUACUAUAACAGCCAGUACAACAAGUAGAGAAUAAAGCAGUUGUGUUCAUGGCAAUCAAUAUUAAUGAGGAUCACAGCAUUUCAUCAGGGCUUUUUUUGCUGAAAAGGCUGCAGAGUGGACAAAUAAUUUUCAUCAUGUUAUAUGGUCUAGCUGAGAACCAUGAAAUUCAGCUAUUUCCAUGAAAAUGAAAUAUAUGACCUUCUGGCCUCAAUUUUGGUAAAGUAAAAAGAAGUUUCUGAGUAACCUUUUUUUCUUUUUCUUUUUUCUUUUUUGUUUUUAAAUAAGCAGUUUCAAAGACUUAAAAUAAAUUUUGAGUUUUUUUCAAAGUAUAUUAAAGUCAGAAGGAAUUGUUUGGAUUAAAGUCUAAUCUCUUGUUCAACACCAGUCUUCCAGUCUUUCAUUCUUGCUGAGAAGACUUUAUAGACCUUAGCUUCUGUUUUGAUAUGAAUCAUACCUUCAGAGGAACAUCCUUUCCUGGCCAGAAGAUUGAAGGGAUAGAGAGAAUCCAGCACAAGUAAGCUAAAUUGAGCACAAACUUUAAUAUCCUUUAUUGUUAAUUUAAAAUUAAAAAAUUAAAAAAAAAACAUCCCAUAGAAAAUACCUUAGUCACAGUUUGUCUUUGUUUUCUAAUAUAAUGCCUAUUGCAAAUUUUAUUUUGUUAAAGCCCAUGCAAUGUUUAGAGGUCUUUACUUCUUCUAGGAUAGCUUCUCAGUUGCAGAAUGAGAUGACCUUAGAAUAGCCAAAAAUGUGAUAACUGAGAAAUUUGCAGUUAGUAAUGGGUAAACCACUUUGUGUUCUUCCUAAUUUGCAACAAGAAUAUGAAUCACAGUAUGUUGUAUUCCAUGUAAGUGCACUCACUGCCUUUCAGUUCUCGCUGCUUUAGUCAGUAAUCAAUACACAAUAAAUUACAAGCUGAAUCUGUUUUGCCCAUGACAAGUACUGGGGAGUGAUCUCCUUGUCCUUAUGUCAACUUAUGAGUCUUUUUCAUUGUUUUCUCCCCCUGUCCUUCUGUGAAGGGGUAGUAAGAGCAAUGUAAUGGCUUUUAGCUACCUACCAGUGCGAAACUGCCAACCACAUCAAUGAAAUCUGCCAUCAAAUCUUUGCUCCAUAAUGGCUCUACAAAUACAUCACUCUUUAACUGAACAGGAAGCUUUAUGAGUGUCAAACAACUCUUACAUUAUUUUCUUGCUAUUUGUUCUCAGCCUGACUAAGGAUAAGGAAAAUACAGUUUACAUUCAAAUUUCUUGUAUCUAUCAUUCAAACACAGAGUUUCAUGCAUCAAGUAAAGACUAGAGAAGAAUGGAAAUUGUGGUUGCCUUAGGAUAAUAUCCCAUCCCCCAGAGUGAAUUAUUGGAGUUUAGACAACUGUACUAAGAAACAGGCAACUUCCACUUGCAGCAAUUCCCUAAUAUUGUCCUUAUGAAUGUACUGCAUUACUCAGACUAGUAUCUGUGUGCAACACUGAUGUGUGAGCUGUUGCUAAUUGUGAGAUGGCUGAACUGUGAGCUUCAGAGAUGCACCAUACUAUGCAGUACUAUCUGGAUAUGAAAUCUGUCCUCUGUAAAUACAUCAUUUUCUUCACUUAGUGUUGAAUUGUUUUUGUCUCUUGUGGACUGAAAUGAGAAGAUGGCAUGACAUGCUUCUCUGACAAAUGUAUGCAUCACUAACUUCCUGAAAUAACAAGUACACUGCAUGUCUGCAAAGGGGCAAUGGAUGAUUCUUAAAAUGCACAUACAUAUUUUAUAGCCUCAUUAGAGUAGACUGGCUUUAUAUUUCUCUUUUAAAGUCUUGUAUUUUUAGCUAGAUAUUUUCCCACUGUGACAGUCAAUCUAACAAAAUUAUGAUAAUUGGAUUUAUCAACAUAUCAUUUGUUGCCUUCUGGGUGAAAUUCACUUGCUCUCUAGUGAACAGAUGAGAACUGAAUGAAUCGCA